rnacentral:lncRNA from 1 species
UUUGAUAACCAUUUAAUAUAGUUAUUUUAAUGUUUUGUCAUUUAGUCUGAAUCUGUCUUGUCUGAAAACAGCAAUUGUAAAUAGUCUUUUGACAGGAGCUAAUGUGCUAGAUAUUGCUUGAUCAGAACAUGGAAGUUUUAUGAUUAAUAGAAAAUCAUCAUAUUGAUAGGAUUGAGAGGGAAUUCGUUCCAAUUCAUCGAGGGGUAUUUUUAUAUCUCAGAAAUGAACUCAUUU